rnacentral:rRNA from 1 species
GCUCAGGACGAACGCUGGCGGCGCGCCUAACACAUGCUAGUCGAACGAGCAAAGAGGAGCUUGCUUCUCUGAGCGAGUGGCGAACGGGUGAGUAACGCGUGAGGAACCUGCCUCAAAGAGGGGGGACAACAGUUGGAAACGACUGCUAAUACCGCAUAAGCCCACGGGUCGGCAUCGACCAGAGGGAAAAGGAGCAAUCCGCUUUGAGAUGGCCUCGCGUCCGAUUAGCUAGUUGGUGAGGUAACGGCCCACCAAGGCGACGAUCGGUAGCCGGACUGAGAGGUUGAACGGCCACAUUGGGACUGAGACACGGCCCAGACUCCUACGGGAGGCAGCAGUGGGGAAUAUUGCACAAUGGGGGAAACCCUGAUGCAGCGACGCCGCGUGGAGGAAGAAGGUCUUCGGAUUGUAAACUCCUGUUGUUGAGGAAGAUAAUGACGGUACUCAACAAGGAAGUGACGGCUAACUACGUGCCAGCAGCCGCGGUAAAACGUAGGUCACAAGCGUUGUCCGGAAUUACAGGGUGUAAAGGGAGCGCAGGCGGGAAGACAAGUUGGAAGUGAAAUCCAUGGGCUCAACCCAUGAACUGCUUUCA